AUCAUGAUUAUUUACCUAUUCAAAAUUUUAGAUAAAAUUAAAUUUGGUUUUCAAUGAUGACACCGAUGAAAAUAAAAGUGCGUGUUGCUGGACUGAACACUGAACAGAUAUAUAUAAAUAUAUAUUCAAGGAUAAUAUUUUAAACACUUUCACAAAAGUAAUUAUCAGAACAAGUUAUCGAAAUCUGCAGUCUAUAAUCGAAUGUAGCAAAAAUGACUACUAUUGGAAUAUAAGCACAAAAACGGUAUUGAAAUGUGGUGUAGGUAC